GACGAACGCUGGCGGCGUGCCUAAUACAUGCAAGUCGAACGCUGAAGGAGGAGCUUGCUUCUCUGGAUGAGUUGCGAACGGGUGAGUAACGCGUAGGUAACCUGCCUGGUAGCGGCGGAUAACUAUUGGAAACGAUAGCUAAUACCGCAUAAGAGUAGAUGUUGCAUGACAUUUGCUUAAUAGGUGCACUUGCAUCACUACCAUAUGGCCCUGCGUUGUUUUAGCUAGUUGGUGGGGUAACGGCUCACCAAGGCGACGGUACAUAGCCGGCCUGAGAGGGUGAGCGGCCACACUGGGACUGGGACACGGCCCAGAAUCCUACGGGAGGGAGCAAGAGGGAAUCAUCGGCCAUGGACGGAAGUCUGACCGAACAACGCCGCGGGAGUUAAGAAGGUUGUCGGAUCGGAAAGCUCUGUUGUAAGAGAAGAACGAGUGUGAGAGUGGAAAGUUCACACUGUGACGGUAUCUUACCAGAAAGGGACGGCUAACUACGUG
rnacentral:rRNA from 1 species